GAUGAACGCUGGCGGCGUGCCUAAUACAUGCAAGUCGAGCGAACAGACGAGGAGCUUGCUCCUUUGACGUUAGCGGCGGACGGGUGAGUAACACGUGGGUAACUUACCUAUAAGACUGGGAUAACUUCGGGAAACCGGAGCUAAUACCGGAUAAUAUUUCGAACCGCAUGGUUCGAUAGUGAAAGAUGGCUCUGCUAUCACUUAUAGAUGGACCUGCGCCGUAUUAGCUAGUUGGUAAGGUAACGGCUUACCAAGGCAACGAUACGUAGCCGACCUGAGAGGGGGGUCGGCCACAAGGGAACUGAAAAACGGUCCAGACCCCUAGGGGGGGCCGAAGGAGGGAAUCUUCCGCAAUGGGCGAAAGCCUGACGGAGAAACGCCGGGGGGGUGAUGAAGGGCCUCGGACCGUAAAACUCUGUUAUUAGGGAAAAAAAAACGUUUAAGUAACUGGGCCAGUUUUGACGGUACCUAAGCAGAAAGCCACGGCAAACCACGU
rnacentral:rRNA from 1 species